rnacentral:rRNA from 1 species
UACGUAGGGUGCAAGCGUUGUCCGGAAUUAUUGGGCGUAAAGAGCUCGUAGGCGGCUUGUCACGUCGAUUGUGAAAGCCCGAGGCUUAACCUCGGGUCUGCAGUCGAUACGGGCUAGCUAGAGUGUGGUAGGGGAGAUCGGAAUUCCUGGUGUAGCGGUGAAAUGCGCAGAUAUCGGGAGGAACACCAAUGGCGAAGGCAGCUUGCUGGGACGGUACUGACGCUGAGGCGCGAAAGCGUGGGGAGCAAACAGG